AGAACGAACGCUGGCGGCAUGCCUAAUACAUGCAAGUCGAACGAACACUUCGGUGUUAGUGGCGCACGGGUGCGUAACGCGUGGGAAUCUGCCCUUGGGUUCGGAAUAACAGUUGGAAACGACUGCUAAUACCGGAUGAUAUCGAAAGAUCAAAGAUUUAUCGCCCAGGGAUGAGCCCGCGUAGGAUUAGCUAGUUGGUGAGGUAAAGGCUCACCAAGGCGACGAUCC
rnacentral:rRNA from 1 species